rfam:Penicillium oxalicum 114-2 unplaced genomic scaffold scaffold_3, whole genome shotgun sequence.
GCACCGGUGGCUCAGUGGUUAGCGCGUGGGAUUGCAGAUCCUAAGGUCGGGCGUUCAAAUCGCCCUCGGUGCU